rnacentral:rRNA from 1 species
ACGCACGCUGGCGGCGUGCUUAACACAUGCAAGUCGAACGGAAAGGCCUCUUUCGGGGGGUACUCGAGUGGCGAACGGGUGAGUAACACGUGAGUAACCUGCCCUUGACUUUGGGAUAACUUCAGGAAACUGGGGCUAAUACCGGAUAGGAGCUCCUGCUGCAUGGUGGGGGUUGGAAAGUUUCGGCGGUUGGGGAUGGACUCGCGGCUUAUCAGCUUGUUGGUGGGGUAGUGGCUUACCAAGGCUUUGACGGGUAGCCGGCCUGAGAGGGUGACCGGCCACAUUGGGACUGAGAUACGGCCCAGACUCCUACGGGAGGCAGCAGUGGGGAAUAUUGCACAAUGGGUGGAAGCCUGAUGCAGCAACGCCGUGUGCGGGAUGACGGCCUUCGGGUUGGAAACCGCUUUCGCUCAUGACGAAGCUUUGUGUGACGGUAGUGGGUAAAGAAGCACCGGCUAACUACGUG